rnacentral:rRNA from 1 species
UACAUAGGUGGCGAGCGUUGUCCGGAAUGACUGGGCGUAAAGGGAGUGUAGGCGGUAUUGCAAGUUAUAUGUGAAAGCCCUUGGCUUAACCAGGGAAUUGCAUAUAAAACUGCAAGACUAGAGUAUGGGAGAGGAAGAUGGAAUUUCUAGUGUAGCGGUUAAAUGCUUAGAUAUUAGAAGGAACACCAGAGGCGAAGGCGGUCUUCUGGCCCAAUACUGACGCUGAGACUCGAAAGCGUGGGGAGCAAACAGGAUUAGAUACCCUGGUAGUCCACGCCCUAAACGAUGAAUACUAGACGUAGGAGGUAUCGACUCCUUCUGUGUCGCAGCAAACGCAAUAAGUAUUCCGCCUGGGUAGUACGGCCGCAAGGUUGAA